rfam:Zea mays cultivar B73 chromosome 4, whole genome shotgun sequence.
UGGAGGGAGCGAUAUUGGCGAGGUUCAAUCAGAUGAUGUAUUUUUCUUAUAUAUAAAUUUGCAUGCAUGAAGGUGUGAAUCCAGUGUCUGAUUGAGCCGCGCCAAUAUCACUUCCUUCCAC